ACUAGAGUAGCACUCGCAUAUCAAUAAGCGGAGGAAAAGAAACUAACAAGGAUUCCCUUAGUAACGGCGAGUGAAGCGGGAAGAGCUCAAAUUUGAAAUCUUCAAGGUUCUACCUUGACGAAUUGUAGUUUAAAGAAGUGUUUUCUGUUAGAUGAGUAGCAAAAGUUCCUUGGAAUGGGACAUCUUAGAGGGUGAGAAUCCCGUAUUUGGUUAUUAUUCUAGCUUUGUGAUACACUUUCAAAGAGUCGGAUUGUUUGGGAAUGCAGUCCAAAAUGGGUGGUAAAUUUCAUCUAAAGCUAAAUAUUGGCGAGAGACCGAUAGCGAACAAGUACCGUGAGGGAAAGAUGAAAAGAACUUUGAAAAGAGAGUUAAACAGUACGUGAAAUUGUCAAAAAGGGAAGCGUUUGACACCAGUGUUGUUUUUUCUGAAAAUCAAUUAAAGAACUGUUUAUGCUAAGUUGUUUAGACUUUAUCAGCUAACUGUUUAGUUUUGAGCUUUUCUUUAAUGCACUUUUCAGUUAACAAGUCAACAUCAAUUUCUUUUGCUGUAAAAAAGCUUGAGGAAGGUGGCUUGAGAUUCGUCUUAAGUGUUUAUAGCCUCUUGCCUAUGCAGUCGGAGAGAUUGAGGUCUGCAGCGUAGAUCCUUCGGGGCUAAAUGCAUUUGUGCUAAGUUAUAGCACUUUAUAGACAACUUGUUGACUAUGAUUUGUCUUGUAGCUUACUCGCUUAUGUUAUUUUACCUACGCUUAGGAUGUUGAUAUCGCGCUCUCACUG
rnacentral:rRNA from 1 species